AGUGAACGCUGGCGGCGUGCCUAAUACAUGCAAGUCGAACGGCGUGGCGCACGGGUGCGUAAUAUAUCGCUAAUCUGCCCCUUGCUGGAGGACAACAGUUAGAAAUGACUGCUAAUUCCCCAUAGCAAGGGAUGAGACUAUAUCGUAUCAGCUAGUCGGUGUGGUAACGGCCUACCGAGGCGAUGACGCGUAACGGGUCUGAGAGGAUGAUCAGUCACAUUGGAACUGAGACACGGUCCAAAAUCCUACGGGAGGCAGCAGUAGGGAAUAUGGCGCAAUGGGGGAAACCCUGACGCAGCAACGCCGCGUGGAGGAUGACACUUGACGGAGCGUAAACUCCUUUUGUUAGGGAAGCGGUACCUAACGAAUAAGCACCGGCUAACUCCGUGCCAGCAGCCGCGGUAAUUC
rnacentral:rRNA from 1 species